GAUGAACGCUGGCGGCGUGCCUAAUACAUGCAAGUCGAGCGAACAGACGAGGAGCUUGCUCCUUUGACGUUAGCGGCGGACGGGUGAGUAACACGUAGGUAACCUACUUAUAAGACUGGGAUAACUUCGGGAAACCGGAGCUAAUACCGGAUAAUAUUUCGAACCGCAUGGUUCGAUAGUGAAAGAUGGCUUUGCUAUCACUUAUAGAUGGACCUGCGCCGUAUUAGCUAGUUGGUAAGGUAACGGCUUACCAAGGCAACGAUACGUAGCCGACCUGAGAGGGUGAUCGGCCACACUGGAACUGAGACACGGUCCAGACUCCUACGGGAGGCAGCAGUAGGGAAUCUUCCGCAAUGGGCGAAAGCCUGACGGAGCAACGCCGCGUGAGUGAUGAAGGUCUUCGGAUCGUAAAACUCUGUUAGUAGGGAAGAACAAACGUGUAAGUAACUGUGCACGUCUUGACGGUACCUAAUCAGAAGGCCACGGCUAACUACGUG
rnacentral:rRNA from 1 species